UCACUAUUUUCAACUGUGUGAGGCCUAUAUGACAUUUGACAGUUCACGAGAAGCUGAAUGCUGAUAGUGGUAUACAUGCAUUUCAAGCACUUAUAUGAAAAUAUUGCCAUCAAGCUUACAUUCGCAUCUGCCAGAAUUUCUGCAACAUACCAUUCUUAAACUUGUUAAUCACAAACUCACAUCAACAAAUAUUUCAAACAUCAAAACAGCCUUCACUUCAAAGUUUUAUCUCUAAUGACAGAUUUUGACCGUGGCCAAUUCGAAUCUGUGGCUGGAAACUACCAACUGCUACCUAAGCAAAACAGAAAAGUGAAUGAUAAACUGGACAGCUGGAAUUAAGGUUGCAGGUUUUCCAUACCGUACCUAUGUUUAAGUUCGAUAUUUCAUACGCCCGAAUCGUUCUUUUAGGUGUGUUACUAUUCGGGUGUGUGGAAGUAGAGGCGGGACGCAAGAUCUUACUCCAUCAGAAUUCUAAACUAUUGUCAGUCACUGUAAUAAACCGUACUUGAAAUAAGCCUGAUCUACUGACCUGAUAUGGACGAUCUUUUAAGUAGAGUCCGUAUUUUCUUGGUCAUUUAACUUCAAGUGCGGAAUCACUGAUGUCAGCAUUACUCUACAACUGCCAUACUGAUCAUGUUGUUAGAAACACGGCUGAUUAAAGGCUGUAUUCCACACCAUUUGUUUGUCUUAUACAUCUACCACGAGAAGAGCAAAGUACGUGGAUAUAGUUAACAACCGACAGAACAGAGACUGCCGUCUAAAGAAGUCGGAGAUCACUCCAAUUCCGACUGGGCAGAUCCUACAGAAAUCUGAGUAAAACGGAAAAUAAUAGUAAACCUAAAUCUAAUUUACAGUAUUCUUAAAUACUAGUGUCCUAUUUAAUUGUAUGCUGGUCUGUAGUACACUAUUCAUCUUUAAAUCUUUAUCUGCCUGAUAAGACGGACUGUAUCAACCAAGUAUUUGUUUCUUAAAACUAAUAACCUUUAUCACAUAUUAUAAUUGGUGAAUAAAAAAGUUAUCGAAUGGGAUAAAACUUUAUUAAACUCAGCGUAUUAUUCUACAGUAAUAUUUGUUAAGAUCAUUCACAUUGAUUAAAUACCAAUAAUAUGGCAUGUCGUAAAUCAGCAACUGAAGGUGGUAUCACUUUUUGAAUUUCCAGUAAAAGACAAAAAAGCAAUGAAUAUUCAGUUCUUUCUAAAUAUCAUAACGUUAUGAUUCAACCAAAUGUUUUUCUAUCCGUCAGAAAAGGAAACAUUUUCAUAUCUUAAGAUGGAGUUUUGGUACCCUUAUAACCGACAAUAAACUUAAAAAAUUAAAAAUUCUUACGUGUCUUCACUGAGCUCAACAAAACCUAUAUAAAUAUUGAUAUGGAAUGUAUAGUAAGUUACACACUACAAUUUCCUACCAAGACACUUGCAAAAAGAAUGCAUGUACAGAAUGGAGGUAUAAAGAUAAUUUUGAUAGAUCGUGAAAAUUUGACAAUUUUUGACAGGUACUGUGAUGACUCAUGACCUAAUUAAAUGUUUGUUCACAUUUUUACCUUCCAGUUUGUAGAGAUGGUACCUAAAAAAUUCAAAUUCAUCUUUACAUAUUUUUUUCAGAGUGAAAUGAUAGCUAAGUGCACCAAUUUUCUAAAUAUAUUUAUUGUUUUCCUCUUUUCCAUGUAAAAAUAGAAUUAUUACAUAAUUAAAAAACGACUUUUUCAAAAUAUCUG